CCUACGGGUGGCAGCAGUGGGGAAUAUUGGACAAUGGGCGAAAGCCUGAUCCAGCCAUGCCGCGUGUGUGAAGAAGGCCUUCGGGUUGUAAAGCACUUUCAGUGGGGAAGAAAGCCUUGGGGCUAAUACCCUCGAGGAAGGACAUCACCCACAGAAGAAGCACCGGCUAACUCCGUGCCAGCAGCCGCGGUAAUACGGAGGGUGCGAGCGUUAAUCGGAAUUACUGGGCGUAAAGCGCGCGUAGGCGGUCUGAUAAGCCGGUUGUGAAAGCCCCGGGCUCAACCUGGGAACGGCAUCCGGAACUGUCAGGCUAGAGUGCAGGAGAGGAAGGUAGAAUUCCCGGUGUAGCGGUGAAAUGCGUAGAGAUCGGGAGGAAUACCAGUGGCGAAGGCGGCCUUCUGGACUGACACUGACGCUGAGGUGCGAAAGCGUGGGUAGCAAACAGGAUUAGAUACCCUAGUAGUC
rnacentral:rRNA from 1 species